UACAGAGGGUGCGAGCGUUGUUCGGAAUUAUUGGGCGUAAAGGGCGCGUAGGCGGUGCGGUAAGUCACCUGUGAAAUCUCCUGGCUCAACUGGGAGCUUGCAGGCGAAACUGCCGUGCUGGAGUGUGGGAGAGGUGCGUGGAAUUCCUGGUGUAGCGGUGAAAUGCGUAGAUAUCAGGAGGAACACCUGUGGCGAAAGCGGCGCACUGGGCCGUAACUGACGCUGAGGAGUGAAAGCGUGGGGAGCGAACAGG
rnacentral:rRNA from 1 species